UACGUAGGGACCGAGCGUUGUCCGGAAUCAUUGGGCGUAAAGAGCGUGUAGGCGGCCACUUAAGUCCUGCGUGAAAUCCUGCGGCUCAACCGCAGGCGGUCGUGGGAAACUGGGUGGCUAGAGUGCGGGAGAGGAGAGUGGAAUUCCUGGUGUAGCGGUGAAAUGCGCAGAUAUCAGGAAGAACACCCGUGGCGAAGGCGGCUCUCUGGGACGGUACUGACGCUGAGACGCGAAAGCGUGGGGAGCGAACAGG
rnacentral:rRNA from 1 species